CCAUUCUGUUAACUUGGGGCAGAGAACUAAGUCUGUAAUAUUUGUUUUAGGUCUUCGGAAGGAAGGGAGAUAGUUCAAAAAACAACAACAACAAAGGAAUGGGUGUCGAAAUCCGAGUGCUUAUACUUGUUGGCAUCGCAUCGUUGUGCCUUGCCCCUGUUUCGUAUGCGGCUACAGGGACUGCUACGUUUUACACACCCCCUUACGUUCCUUCUUCAUGCAAUGGCUUUCAAAACGAUGGUGUCAUGAUCGCCGCAGCAAGCGACGUGAUAUGGGACAAUAGGGCAGCAUGCGGGAGAAUGUACAGCGUUCGUUGCACGGGUCCUACGAACCAAGGUGUGCCACAGCCUUGCACGGGUCAAAGCGUUGUGGUUAAGGUUGUGGACUACUGCCCACCUGGCUGCGCUUCAACCAUUGAUCUUUCCCAAGAAGCUUUCACCGUGAUCGCGGACCCCAAUGCCGGAAAAAUCAACAUUGAAUAUAACCAGGUCUAAGGGUCUACUCGAUUGAGAGAGCUUUGGAAGGGGGAGUGGCCUCUAAUUAAUAUCCUAAAUAAGAAGCAUAUCUUGCAAUAAUUGUAUGGUUACAUGGGUGAUGUUGCGAUGCUUGUGUUGCUAUAUGUGAUGUUUGUGUAAUUAUUAAAUCGAAUAAAUUCAAGGAUCCGUUUUAUGUA